ensembl:ncRNA lncRNA:CR43716 long non-coding RNA:CR43716
CGGUUCUUCAUAGUCAUUAUGUAACCUCAAGAACCGGCGAGCCGAGGGUGUCCAAGCCAAAUCAUCGAAGCGUCCGAAAGGUCACCACCACCGCUCCAUUUAUGGCCACAUGGGGUUUUUCGACUGCAGCAGUCUGUACUGCACUCCACAGAUCGUGUGUGUCCAUUUAUGGUCUGGCCAGCCCAACUCCUGCUUCAUCUCGGCCAGACUCUUUCACCCGGCGUAGGCGAAAAGUGUGCACUUUGGAAAGCCAUCAAAGGCGCCACGGGCUCCGUCGAUUGGAGGUCAGGACUGCAUGCCACGAAAACACACAAAAACUAACAAAAAUCCACAAAAAAAAAAACGGGCACAUGUGGGCCGUGGUCGCUACGCUGUACACUCCAAGAAAGUGUGUCAGUUUGGAAUCAGUGCAGCAGGCACUGUAAUUGGAAAUGGGAAAAAUAUAUUACAGAUUAUCUGAACUUUUAUGGCUGCCAUUUAUUCAAUUUGUUUAAUAGGCUCGGCAUAGCAAAAGCUGCAAUGCUUUGCUCACGUUGUGCAAUUUUAUAUUAUGAACAAAUUUCUUGGUAAUCCAAUUGGUAGUGUAAGCGAAUUCGAACGGAAUUACUGAAUCGACUUUAUUGGUAGGGUAUUAUUUUUGAGAUGUC